rnacentral:rRNA from 1 species
CCCACCUGUUUGCAUGUACGGGUGAGUAAAGCGCGCAUUAACCUCGCCCUAACCAAGUUUCUUUCGCCGUGCGGGCAGCCGUGUAGGUGGGGGAGUUUUGGUUAGAGCGUGGUGUGUGGUGGCUUCGGGAGGGGCUUGCGGCCUAUCAGGUAGUUGGUGGGGUAACGGCCUACCAAGCCAUCGACGGGUAGCUGGUCUGAGAGGAUGGUCAGCCGGACUGGGACUGCGAUACGGCCCAG